GGAAAAUGCUGCUGGUAAACAUGGCACACAGCAUGCAGAGCAUCUAUACACAUGCCCAUUGCAAGGAUACCGCUCUUGGCAACUGAACGUAACGGGACAACCGAACGUAAUGGCCACAGGUGACAGAGCACAACGUCCUUGAAAGAGACGGUGACCUCCGGCCACCCAUGGUUUUACAAUUACCCAGAAGUGAUUCCCCUACAUUGAAAGGGACUUGAGGAGGGGGCGGAACCGAGUACAGACUUUUAUCGUCUCAACAUCUAGAAGUGCUUGUCCCAAGGAUAACAAUCAAGAGAAAAAUUGGGAACUGGAAGAAUCAUUAUGGACUACUCUCUGGGGUAUCACCAACCAAAAA